rnacentral:tRNA from 1 species
UGAGCCUUGGUAUGGAAAAUCCGUCGACUUUAGAAAUCGUGAGGGUUCAAGUCCCUCUAUCCCC